rnacentral:rRNA from 1 species
UACGGGGGGAGCAAGCGUUGUUCGGAUUUACUGGGCGUAAAGGGCGCGUAGGCGGUCGUGACAAGUCACUUGUGAAAUCUCCGGGCUUAACUCGGAACGGUCAAGUGAUACUGUCGGACUAGAGUACAGAAGGGGCAACUGGAAUUCUCGGUGUAGCGGUGAAAUGCGUAGAUAUCUGGAGGAACACCGGUGGCGAAGGCGGCAUCCUGGACCGGCAUUGACGCUGAGGCGCGAAAGCGUGGGGAGCGAACAGG